GUGAAGCGAACCCUGGGAACUGAAACAUCUCAGUACCGGGAGGAAGAGAAAUCAACCGAGAUGCCCGGAGUAGCGGCGAGCGAAAGGGGCAGAGCCCAAACCGGGGUCCUUGUGGCCCCGGGGUUGUAGGACCCACGGACGGAGCCAGUCAACGAAUCGAAGUCCCCUGGAACGGGGCGCCACAGACGGUGACAGCCCGGUAGAUGGAGAGCGCUGGCCCAGUGGAGUUCCUGAGUAGCGCCCGACUCGUGGAAUCGGGCGUGAAGCUGGGGGGACCA
rnacentral:rRNA from 1 species